rnacentral:rRNA from 1 species
GAGUUUGAUCAUGGCUCACGAUGAACGCUGGCGGCGUGCUUAACACAUGCAAGUCUAACAAUCCUUCGGGUUAGUGGCUUAUGGGUGAGUAACGCGUGAGAAUCUGCCCUCAGGAGGGGGAUAACACCUGGAAACGGCUGCUAAUACCCCAUAUGCCGCGAGGUGAAAUGAAUUUCGCCUGAGGAUGAGCUCGCGUCUGAUUAGCUAGUUGGUGUAGGUAAUGGCUCACCAAGGCAUCGAUUCUUAUCUGGUCUGAAAGGAUGAUCAGCCACACUGGGACUGAGACACGGCCCAGACUCCUACGGGAGGAACCAUUGGGGAAUUUUCCGCAAUGGGCGAAAGCCUGACGGAACACCGCCGCGUGAGGGAUGAAGGCCUCUGGGCUGUAAACUUUUUUUAUAAAGGAAGAAUAUCUUACGGUACUUGAUGAAUAAGCCACGGCUAAUUCCGUGCCAGCAGCCGCGGUAAUACGGGAGUGGCAAGCGUAAUCCGGAAUUAUUGGUCGUAAAGUGUCCGCAUGCGGCCCUCCAAGUCUGCUGUUAAAAAGUGGAGCUUACCUCCUCAUGGCAGUGUAAACUGAGGGGCUUGAAUGUGGUAGGGGCAAAGGGAAUUCCCGGUGUAGCGGUGAAAUGGGUAUAUAUCGGGAAGAACACCAGUGGCGAAGGCGCUCUGCUGGGCCAUCACUGACGCUCAUGGACGAAAGCCAGGGGAGCGAAAGGGAUUAGAUACCCCUGUAGUCCUGGCUGUAAACGAUGAACAUAGGUGUCGUGGGAAUCGACCCCCUCGGUGUCGUAGCCAACGCGUUAAGUGUUCCGCCUGGGGAGUACGCACGCAAGUGUGAAACUCAAAGGAAUUGACGGGGGCCCGCACAAGCGGUGGAGUAUGUGGUUUAAUUCGAUGCAACGCGAAGAACCUUACCAGGGUUUGACAUCCUGCGAAUCUCUUGGAGACGAGAGAGUGCCUUCGGGAGCGCAGUGACAGGUGGUGCAUGGCUGUCGUCAGCUCGUGUCGUGAGAUGUUGGGUUAAGUCCCGCAACGAGCGCAACCCACGUCUUUAGUUGCCAGCAUUUAGUUGGGCACUCUAGAGAGACCGCCGGUGAUAAACCGGAGGAAGGUGUGGAUGACGUCAAGUCAUCAUGCCCCUUACAUCCUGGGCUACACACGUACUACAAUGCUACGGACAAAGGGCAGCAAGUUCGCGAGGACAAGCAAAUCCCAUAAACCGUGGCUCAGUUCAGAUCGUAGGCUGCAACUCGCCUACGUGAAGGAGGAAUCGCUAGUAAUCGCAGGUCAGCAUACUGCGGUGAAUACGUUCCCGGGCCUUGUACACACCGCCCGUCACACCAUGGGAGCUGGUCAUGCCCGAAACCGUUUGCUUAACCUUUUGGAGAGCGGCGUCUAAGGUAGGGCUAGUGAAUGGGGUGAAGUCGUAACAAGGUAACC